GACGAACCGUCCGAACGUUAUUCGGAAUCACUGGGCUUAAAGGGUGCGUAGGCGGCGCGGUAAGUCGGGUGUGAAAUCUCGGGGCUUAACUCCGAAACUGCAUUCGAUACUGCGGUGCUUGAGGACUGGAGAGGAGACUGGAAUUCAUGGUGUAGCAGUGAAAUGCGUAGAUAUCGUAAGGAAGACCAGUGGCGAAGGCGGGUCUCUGGACAGCUCCUGACACUGAGACACGAAGGCCAGGGGAGCAAACGGG
rnacentral:rRNA from 1 species